rnacentral:rRNA from 1 species
UACGUAGGGUGCGAGCGUUGUCCGGAAUUAUUGGGCGUAAAGAGCUCGUAGGCGGUGUGUCGCGUCGGCCGUGAAAACCUGCAGCUUAACUGUGGGCUUGCGGUCGAUACGGGCAUCACUGGAGUUCGGCAGGGGAGACUGGAAUUCCUGGUGUAGCGGUGAAAUGUGCAGAUAUCAGGAGGAACACCGGUGGCGAAGGCGGGUCUCUGGGCCGUAACUGACGCUGAGGAGCGAAAGCAUGGGGAGCGAACAGG